rnacentral:misc_RNA from 1 species
CUUCUAUUGCCCCCUCUAAUUAAAGCUGUGUAUAUAGGCUAAUGGUGAUUUGGAUUUAGAAAUACUUAGAAUCAUGAUGAAGGUAAUGACCCCAUGGUGGUAAUAAAUUGUUUAGAAUCGCUUCCAUGUGCCUUUACAGAGUUCAACUAGAAUCCAUCUACAAAAUUGAGAAGUGCCAUAUCAAAUGAACAUAAUAGAAAGUGUUAAAUAUUAUCAUGGAUGUGAAAUGAAUUGCAAAACUAUGUGGUGAAACAAACAAUACAAAUAUUAUUCCUUGUGUAGGUAUUACAUAAUUUCAAAGAGCAAAAUAACGUGGGCAUAAUAAACAAUAUAGAACAUGGGUCUUAGAGUUUGAAUUUCUGAGAGAUUGGAAGUUGAAAACUUGAACCCAAAUGGCUUUGGUUUUAAAUCUAACCAUUUAUAGGAGACGCAAGGAACAUAAAAUUGUUCAGGGAGUGGCCUAUCAUAGGUUGAGAAGGAUAAUGCCUUAAUUUAUAUCACCAAAUACUGUAAUGGCUUUUCAACCCUGUCUUUGGCGGUGGCAAGUUGCAGGUAAUGGAUCAGUGAAAAAAAAUUAGGGGAUAAUAGCUAGUGAAAAUUCAUGUAUCAGGGGAUGCAGUGAAGGUUACAGAUAUGUUAAAAGGAUUCCUUAAAAUUUAGCAAUAAUCAGCAUAAAUAAAAGUUCUUUGUAAUGAGUGUCAUUGUCAACCAAUCUGCGUUGUCACUCAAAACACACCUGCCGUAGUUUUUGAUGUGAAAUCUGAAAGCACUAGUUGGGGAAAUUAACAAUAAAUAUGGUUGGCCUGUAAAAUUGAGUGAGAUCUAUCAAGUCAGUGUGGAGUUCAGAGGCUCAAGAAUUGGCUUGGUGGCUCUGUGUGACCUUGAGCAGUAGAUUUUUUGAGCUUCCUGUCAGUGAGUUGAUCUUGAGCCUAGUUCAGUCUUUGGCUCCUUUUGGUUUAUUUUUCUGAAGAGUCUUGCUUCCAGGUAAUACAACAAUAUCAUAGGCAUAGAGCUGUAUUUGCUUUCAGGGAUUCGCCGCCUUUGACAUCUUUGACAAUUGACAUUGUGUACAUUAGAUUUACUGCAAUUCUAUUCAGUUAUUCUCGUGGAGCAUCUCUGUGCUUGUGCUUUUUCAUUAAUCUGACAUAUAUGAUGUUUGCAGGUUGCUC